GUUAAUUUCAAAAUAUGGUUAUACAAGUGUCCUCAGUUGGAUAAUCAUUGUAUUUAAACACAUGUUGAUAUAUACCUAUUGAUCCCCCGCAUGUAUACAUUAAGUAAAAGCCGUCUAAGCUAUUUGACCAGCUAGACACAGAUUCAAAAUAUCGUUGAAUAUGAUAAAACCUUUUUGUAUCCAAUCAAAUUAUUUUGGUUCGGAUUCCUGACUAAGUAUGAACAUCCCGAUCAAGGGAAAACUUUUAUGCGCCCAAGGCGGACGGUGUGAACGAUAAUAUCGUUCUUGUAUGUAGUAUUGAUCAAUACAGGGCCCAUGGGAUGUACACCCUCGCGCUCGUAAGUUAUGACGGUUUGCAGAUGAAGUUCUGCUAAACCUUUUCAAAAAUUAAAAACAAUGUUCAUAGUAUGUCACCUUAAC
rnacentral:lncRNA from 1 species